AGAGUUUGAUCAUGGCUCAGAACGUACGCUGGCGGCACGCCUAAUACAUGCAAGUCGAACGAAGUAGCAAUACUUAGUGGCAGACGGGUGAGUAACAUGUGGGUAUCUUCCCUUUGGUGAGGAAUAACACGAGGAAACUUGUGCUAAUACCUCAUAAGUCUUUACGGAGAAAGCUUUAUGCGCCAAUGGAUGAGCCCGCACUUGAUUAGUUUGUUGGUAGGGUAAUGGCCUACCAAGACUGUGAUCAAUAGCUGAUUUGAGAGGAUGAUCAGCCACAUUGGGACUGAGACACGGCCCAAACUCCUACGGGAGGCAGCAGUAGGGAAUCUUGCACAAUGGAGGAAACUCUGAUGCAGCGAUGCCGCGUGAGUGAAGAAGGCCCUUGGGUUGUAAAGCUCUUUCGUCGGGGAAGAAAA
rnacentral:rRNA from 1 species